UACGUAGGGCGCAAGCGUUGUCCGGAAUUAUUGGGCGUAAAGAGCUCGUAGGCGGUCUGUUGCGUCUGCCGUGAAAACCCGAGGCUUAACCUCGGGCCUGCGGUGGAUACGGGCAGACUAGAGGUAGGUAGGGGAGGAUGGAAUUCCCGGUGUAGCGGUGAAAUGCGCAGAUAUCGGGAGGAACACCGGUGGCGAAGGCGGUUCUCUGGGCCUUACCUGACGCUGAGGAGCGAAAGCGUGGGGAGCGAACAGG
rnacentral:rRNA from 1 species